ACUGCUCAGUAACACGUGGACAAUCUGCCCUGAAGUGGAGAAUAAUCCCGGGAAACUGGGGGUAAUACUCCAUAGUUCGUUAUUACUGGAAUGUUUUUCGAACGAAAGAUCCGUCGCUUCAGGAUGAGUCUGCGGCCGAUUAGGUAGUUGUUGGGGUAAUUGCCCAACAAGCCUGUAAUCGGUACGGGUUGUGGGAGCAAGAGCCCGGAGAUGGAUUCUGAGACACGAAUCCAGGCCCUACGGGGCGCAGCAGGCGCGAAAACUUUACCAUGCGGGCAACCGUGAUAAGGAAACCCCGAGUGCCAGCACAGGCUGGCUGUCCGCCAGUUUAAACAACUGGCGAAGAAAGGGCCGGGCAAGACCGGUGCCAGCCGCCGCGGUAAUACCGGCGGCUCGAGUGGUGGCCGCUAUUACUGGGCUUAAAGGGUCCGUAGCUUGAUAAUAGGGUCCCUUGAGAAAUCCGCCGGCUUAACUGGCGGGCGUUCAGGGGAAACUUGUUUUCUAGGGACCGGGAGAGGUGAGGGGUACUGCCGGGGUAGGAGUGAAAUCCUGUAAUCCCGGUGGGACCACCUAUGGCGAAGGCAUCUCACCGGAACGGGUCCGACAGUGAGGGACGAAAGCUGGGGGAGCAAACCGGAUUAGAUACCCGGGUAGUCCCAGCUGUAAACUAUGUGCGUUAGGUGUGUCAGUGACCACGUGUCACUGAGGUGCCGAAGGGAAACCGUGAAACGCACCGCCUGGGGAGUACGGUCGCAAGGCUGAAACUUAAAGGAAUUGGCGGGGGAGCAC
rnacentral:rRNA from 1 species